GGCUGGUUUGUGGAGUUCCCUGCUGAGGUAUUCUGAAGAAGGCAGCUCUGGGAGGUGUUGCCUAGCAGAGUGAGGAACAAUUUGAUAUGGAGGAAGAAACGUGCAUCCAAGGGCACCUUUCAACGUGGUACGUAAGUACCAUCUGGAUAUCUGGCUAGUGAUCAGCAGGCUAUGAUAUGGGAGGCUUUUUAAAUACAUGUAAGCAGAAGAGAGUAGAAAGAGUAGGCAAACAGCAAACAGUUUAAUGAAGACUGAAGAGGAUAUUGAUGAAAUCACUGAGGAAGAUGGUACAGAAAUCCAUUUGUUGUUCGAGAUUUGCUGCUCAAAUAAUAGGCUAAGCACUUCUACGAGCCUCUACAGGCAUAUUUAAGCUUCCUGAAAAGUGUACUUUGCAGGACAGAAUCAUAGAAUAAUUAAGGUCAGAGAAGACCACUAAGAUCAUCUUGUCCAACUGUUGAUCCAUCAUUACCAUGCUCACUAAACCACGUCUACUGCAUUGAUUCCAGAAACAAAUAUUCACAAAAGAAAGGAAGGCACAGCACUCAGCAUGGAUAUGCUGGAUUUCUAUUAAGGAAGGGAACAGCUUUGAGAUCAAGCAUACCAAUUGCCAGACCUUCUCCCUCACCCUAAAUUCAAGAAAUUUAGUUUUUAUCAUAAGACACAAAGAAAUUUUAUAAAAUGUGAAUAAGUCUUUUUUGAUUGACCUUAAGAGUUUCUGAAUACACUACUGCAGGGUGCAAACUGAUGAACAAACUGAUGUUUACUUAUUCAAACUCGCUCGGGUCAGUGGACUUCACUGCGUAUGGUAGUACUGUUCCCCAUGUGAGUGUUCAUGUUUGUGCAGAUGAUGAUGUUGCAGCCUGGCAGAGUAACACUGCUAAAAAAGCUCCUGUUGUCAAUUACUGGGAGUUUUCUUUCAACUCUGUUAAUACUGGAGGUGAAUUAUGACCUGUGGAGUUACAACAGAAUCUUGCAAGUUCUGUGAUGGCUUUUGACAGCCUGGUCCCAGCAGGGAAAGACUCCUUGCUUGAAAUCUAUCAACCUCUUCAUCACACAGGAGAAAUGAAAAAGAAACCUGCCUAGAAGCUCAAAUCAAGUUUGAAAGGGGAUCCUCUCCAACUGAGCUGAGUCACUGCAGACAUCUUUGCAUGACAAGCAUAUUCAUUUAGGGAACCUUCUAAAGGCGGGUGCACCUAACAAAGACAUCCUGUUCACGCUUAAUGCACCAGAUAAAUUUUCUUAAAAUGUGGAGUUAUUUUAUGAGUUCUUAGUGAAUAAGUGCACUCACAUAUGGACCUCUGAAGAGAUUUUUAAUUAAUUACUUUCAGUCUUUUUCUUUUUGUAAAAUUAGAACAAUGAAGGAAUAGACUGGCUGUGGAGUUUGGCUGAGGAAAGAUUAUACUAAUCCACUUAAAAUAUGACUAAAACAGCAAGCAAGAAGAGAUAAAAGCAUUUUUUUUUCAAAACUCGUUUACCUGUGACAAAAUCCCUCCAUAUCAGCUGCAUACAAAUUGUUGGAUUGUCUUAAUUAAGCUCUACUAAAAAAAGAUUUUCCUGUGGACUUCUUGGACUUUACAACCAGAGAGUAAUUCCUCUGAUGAUCCUUGCAAGAUGGGGAAAUGCAUGUUUCAUGCAAUUCAUAGUUAGGAGAGCAGAAGAGCUUUCAAAGAACAGAGUUGUCAGCGAGAUCAAUGUCUUAUAUGGAAGUAAAUGAAGACAGAAGUUCUCAGAAGUUUAUGCUAUGUCCCAAUACUCCAUUAAAAUGGGUUUUCAAAAGCUAGGACACUCAUAUUCCACAAGAUCUCUGGUUAAUAAAAUGCUAUGGUUAC
rnacentral:lncRNA from 7 species